AUGGUAACCAGGUUACACACUGUUACACACUCACUCUAACCAGGCUACACACUGUUACACGCUCACGGUAACCAGGUUACACACUGUUACACACUCACUCUAACCAGGUUACACACUGUUAUACGCUCACGGUAACCAGGUUACACACGGUUACACACUCACUCUAACCAGGUUACACACUGUUACACGCUCACGGUAACCAGGUUACUCACUGUUACACGCAACGGUAACCAGGUUACACACUGUUACAUACUCACGGUAACCAGGUUACACACUGUUACACGCAACGGUAACCAGGUUACACACUGUUACAUGCACACGGUAACCAGGUUACACACUGUUACACACUCACUCUAACCAGGUUACACACUGUUACAUGCUCACUCUAACCAGGUUACACACUGUUACACGCUCUCUCUAACCAGGUUACACUGUUACACGCACACGGGAACCAGGUUACACACUGUUACACACUCACUCUAACCAGGUUACACACUGUUACAUGCUCACGGUAACCAGGUUACACACUGUUAUAUACACAUGGUAACCAGGUUACACACUAUUACACGCACACGGGAACCAGGUUUCACACUGUUACACACUCACUCUAACCAGGUUACACACUGUUACACGCUCACGGUAACCAGGUUACACACUGUUACACGCUCACUCUAACCAGGUUACACACUGUUACAUGCUCACGGUAACCAGGUUACACACUGUUAUAUACACACGGUAACCAGGUUACACACUGUUACACGCACACCGUAACCAGGUUACUCACUGUUACAUGCUCACGGUAACCAGGUUACUCACUGUUACACGCUCACACUAACCAGGUUACACAAUGUUACACACUCACUCUAACCAGGUUACACACUGUUACGCGCUCACGGUAACCAGGUUACACACUGUUACACGCAACGGUAACCAGGUUACACACUGUUACACGCAACGGUAACCAGGUUACACACUGUUACACACUCACGGUAACCAGGUUACAUACUGU